UACGUAGGGGCGAGCGUUGUCCGGAAUUAUUGGGCGUAAAGGGUUCGUAGGCGGUAAUACAUGUCAGAUGUGAAAUCUUGUGGCUUAACCACAUCAGGCAUCUGAAACUGUAUAACUUGAGUGGAGGAGAGGUAAGUGGAAUUCCUAGUGUAGCGGUGAAAUGCGUAGAUAUUAGGAAGAAUACCAGUAGCGAAGGCGACUUACUGGCCUCUAACUGACGCUGAUGAACGAAAGCGUGGGUAGCAAACAGGAUUAGAUACCCUGGUA
rnacentral:rRNA from 1 species